rnacentral:misc_RNA from 1 species
GAACUGCGAUAAGUAAUGUGAAUUGCAGAAUUCAGUGAAUCAUCGAGUCUUUGAACGCACAUUGCGCCCCCUGGCAUUCCGGGGGGCAUGCCUGUCCGAGCGUCAUUGCUGCCCUUCAAGCCCGGCUUGUGUGUUGGGUCGUCGUCCCCUCCGGGGGACGGGCCCGAAAGGCAGCGGCGGCACCGCGUCCGGUCCUCGAGCGUAUGGGGCUUUGUCACCCGCUCGAUAAGGACCGGCCGGGCGCCAGCCGGCGUCUCCAACCUUUUUUCUCAGGUUGACCUCGGAUCAGGUAGGGAUACCCGCUGAACUUAAGC